rnacentral:rRNA from 1 species
AUUGAACGCUGGCGGCAGGCCUAACACAUGCAAGUCGAGCGAGCGGCGGACGGGUGAGUAAUGUCUGGGAAACUGCCUGAUGGAGGGGGAUAACUACUGGAAACGGUAGCUAAUAACGCAUACCAUCAGAUGUGCCCAGAUGGGAUUAGCUAGUAGGUGGGGUAAUGGCUCACCAAGGCAACGAUCCCUAGCUGGUCUGAGAGGUUGAACAGCCACACUGGAACGGAGACACGGUCCAGACUCCUACGGGAGGCAGCAGUGGGGAAGAUUGCACAAUGGGCGAAAGCCUGAUGGAGCCAUGCCGCGUGUGUGAAGAAGGCCUGCGGGUCGUAAAGCACUUUCAGCAGGGAGGCGUUACCCGCAGAAGAAGCACCGGCUAACUCCGUGCCAGCAGCCGCGGUAAUAC